CCGCGGUAAUUCCAGCUCCAAUAGCGUAUAUUAAAGUUGCUGCAGUUAAAAAGCUCGUAGUUGGAUUUCUGGUACGGUUCGCCUGGUCCGCCGCCGUUUCAGGCGCGUGAGUACCGGCGCGGGCCUGCCAUCCUUCCGGGGCGCGCGCCUACCUUUCGCUGGGGCCGGGCGCGCCACCCGGAUCGUUUACUUUGAAAAAAUUAGAGUGUUUAAAGCAGGCGUCGCCGCUCUGAAUACAUUAGCAUGGAAUAAUAGGAUAGGACUUGGGUUCUAUUUUGUUGGUUUCUAGGACCGAAGUAAUGAUUGAUAGGGACAGUUGGGGGGUGCUGGUAUUCAGCGGCCAGAGGUGAAAUUCUUGGAUUCGCUGAAGACCAACUUAUGCGAAAGCAUUCACCAAGGAUGUCUUCUUUAAUCAAGAACGAAAGUUGGGGGAUCGAAGACGAUCAGAUACCGUCGUAGUCUCAACCAUAAACUAUGCCAACUAGGGAUGGGCGAACGUUGCUUUUCCGACUUCGUCCGCACCUUAUGAGAAAUCACAAGUGUUUGGGUUCCGGGGG
rnacentral:rRNA from 1 species